rnacentral:rRNA from 1 species
GCUAAACGCGAAGAACCUUACCAGGCCUUGACAUGCAGAGAACUUUCCAGAGAUGGAUUGGUGCCUUCGGGAGCGUCUGACACAGGUGCUGCAUGGCUGUCGUCAGCUCGUGUCGUGAGAUGUGGGUUAAGUCCCGUAACGAGCGCAACCCUUGUCCUUAGUUACCAGCACGUUAUGGUGGGCACUCUAAGGAGACUGCCGGUGACAAACCGGAGGAAGGUGGGGAUGGACGUCAAGUCAUCAUGGCCCUUACGGCCUGGGCUACACACGUGCUACAAUGGUCGGUACAGAGGGUUGCCAAGCCGCGAGGUGGAGCUAAUCUCACAAAACCGAUCGUAGUCCGGAUCGCAGUCUGCAACUCGACUGCGUGAAGUCGGAAUCGCUAGUAAUCGCGAAUCAGAAUGUCGCGGUGAAUACGUU